AUGCUGCCCGACUGUCGCCGCCUGCUUGCUCGGCUUCUCGCCCUCCUCGCGCUGCUGCUGCUGAUCGUCGGUGUACAUGGCCGUAUAGGAUUGAACUGCGGCAGUCAUGGCCUGAUGUGGAGUACUACUUUGAACAUCGUCGCAGAGAACCCAAACGGCUGCACAGGUCUGCCCUCUCCAGACUGUCCAGACUGUGGAUAG
rnacentral:rRNA from 1 species